AUGUCUCACGAAGACAUCCUGACUCUACUGCAACGAGAAGAUGUCCGACGUUCCCUGGUUGGACCCCGGGGGCCCCCGGGACCCCCGGGCCCUGCUGGAGAUGGACUCCAGACCCUGGAUUACUCAGAACUGGCCAACCGGGUCAUCAGCUACUUAAGCAGUCAGUGUCUGUUGGUCGCCUCCUCACUGCCUGGGCGGGGAUGGGGCAGCAGGGGUGGAUGGGUGGGAGGGCGGGCGGGAGCCAGGCCUAAGCUGAUAACUAUUCCAGCAGCUGGCUCUUUACCCCAGAAUUUUCCUUCCCUUUGCUGCCAGGAUGGGUGUGGGCAGCUCCUUCUCCUACCUCUCUGCCUGGGCUCUGGUUACCCCCUUACCCUCUUAGGGUUGGCACCCACCUGGAGAUCUCUGCAUGGUUUCUUGCCUCCAUGUGAACGCCUCUUCCUCUGGGUGACCUCUUUGUGUGUCUGUCUCCAUUUCCGAUUUUGUUGGUGGGUCCUCCCGCCCCGUUUAUACCCCUCGACCUCCUCUUCCAAUUCUGCCGGUGGGACGACAUCCCAUCUUCCCCCUCUGAACUCUCCCACCCCUCACCUUCUAAAGUUCAAUGAAGGUGGCAGCUUCAUGUUGGUGUCUUGAAGAGGCAGCAUUGCCAUUUGUAGUCUCCUGGGGUCUGAACAGCCUUACUAAGGGGUGCCCCGCCCACCAGCUGGUGGGGAGGGGUGGCUGGAAAAGGGGCCCUUCCAGAUUUCUGUGGUUGUGGACUGCGUGGAAGAGAAUCCCAGCCAUCAGCAGUGCCACCUGCAGACAGCAUAAUUCUGGGCAGUAAAGGGGGCAGGAAGGUGGGGUUGACUGUACAGAGUCCUUGAUUCUUCUCUCCUUAGGGUCGGAGCUCAAUGUGGGAAUCCCCGGGCCCCCCGGGCCUCCAGGGCUCCCAGGAACAUCCUACGAGGACCUGCUGUCCAUCCUCCAGGGUGAGCUUUCGGUCCAGCCUCUGCCUCCGGCAUCACCGGCGGAAACCACACCCACUAUGGUGGGGGGAGGAAACGGGGAGCAGGUUGACAAGGGUGCCCUAGAAAUUUACCAAGGCCCUAAGUUCUAAUCCCCACUUCUGUGGCAAGGUGCCAGGUGACUUGGGCCUCAUCACUUAACCUUCCUGGGGCCUUAGUUUCUGCCCCUGAAAAGAGGCAGGAGGAGGUUACAUGCUUCCUGGGGCUUGUUGAAGAAUAUCUCACACUCCUCAUGGAAAACUGGCAGGAGCUACUCCCCCUCUUCCCCUCCCCCAAUCAAUGUCAAUCAAUCGAUGGUAUUUGAGUGCUUGCUUUGUGUAGUACUAAGCGCUUGGGAGAGUAUGAUGUAAAAGAAUUGGCAGACAAGUUCCCUGCCCACGGUGAACUUACAGUGUUCCUUCUGCCCAGGGCCCAGGGCAAGCGCAGUCUGAGGAAACCGUCCCGGCUGGGCUAGGGCAGGGGUGAGGCCGGGGCUACUCUGGGCAUCGCUGGGGGAGGGUGAAGCACCUAGGGGUGAAUCUUUUCUUCCCGCUCAUUUCAGGCUCUGAAUUCAGAGGCAUCGUUGGACCCCCAGGGCCGCCAGGCCCUCCCGGCCCCCAGGGCAGCUCGCUAUCCAGCCUCAGCGUGGAGGACCUCUCCUCCUACCUACAGAGUAAGGGCCGCCCCUGAGGGGAAAGGGUGUGGUGGGCAGAGGGGAAGCGGCCCGGCCAUCCACCGCACUGAGGAGAGGUCUCCUAUGCCCUUGCCCUCUGCGUUGGCAGUCCGGAGCUAGUGGCUACUCAGCCUCCCCAGAAAGGGCAAGGGUUGGGUUGAACACACCUGGGGCAGCAGGCUACGGUCACAGGGGAGGAGGGCAUAGAGGUCACGCUCCUCUCCCCUUCCCUCCCCGCUCUCUCCCCUCUGAGCCCAGAGUCAGCUCUGAACCUCCAGGCCUGCAUCCAUCCUUCUCCACACCCCAUCUUGAUCCCUGGGGUCACUCGACGGCCCCACCCCACCCCACUUUCCCUUCGGUGUGCCCCCUGCCGGCGGGGCUGGGCUAGAGGUUUCAGGCUUUCCUGAGGCCUGGGUUCCCGUUGACCUUUCUCCCGGGCUUCCGCCGGCAGGUGCGGGCUUCUCCUCCAAACCGGGGCCGCCCGGGCCUCCGGGGCCCCCGGGUCCGCAGGGACCCACCUAUUUCUCCGAGGGCCUGACCACGUAUGCGGCUGAGCAGAGCGAUAACUUCAAGAGCGAGCUGAUAGGCUACCUGACAAGUAAGUGGGCAUGGCCAGGCCCCGCCUGCCCUCCCCCCGGCUCGCCCACUUUUCCCCAUUCCCCCCUACUCCCGCCCGCCGCUCCGACUCUUGGUGUGGCCAGGUGGCGGGAGGCUCCAGC
rnacentral:lncRNA from 1 species